rnacentral:rRNA from 1 species
AUUGGACGCUGGCGGCAUGCCUUACACAUGCAAGUCGAACGGCAGCGGACCUUCGGGUGCCGGCGAGUGGCGAACGGGUGAGUAAUAUAUCGGAACGUACCUUUCAGUGGGGGAUAACGUAGCGAAAGUUACGCUAAUACCGCAUAUUCUGUGAGCAGGAAAGCAGGGGAUCGCAAGACCUUGCGCUGAUUGAGCGGCCGAUAUCAGAUUAGCUAGUUGGUGAGGUAAAGGCUCACCAAGGCGACGAUCUGUAGCGGGUCUGAGAGGAUGAUCCGCCACACUGGAACUGAGACACGGUCCAGACUCCUACGGGAGGCAGCAGUGGGGAAUUUUGGACAAUGGGCGCAAGCCUGAUCCAGCCAUGCCGCGUGAGUGAAGAA